UUUGAAGGAGAACCAUCAGAUUUUUGGAAGCCAAAAAUAAAAACCCUAAUAUAAAAGAUCUCUCACUCUUAUUCUAAAUAGGAGCAGCGGCAGAACCCCCAUCCCCUCCCCUGAACCAAAAAUCUUAACGUCGCAGCACACAUUAACACACAACCGCCACUUAUCUACUUCUUCCUCCAAAAACACUACCAUUUUUAGCUCCAAAAUUACCCUUUAAACCACCUUGAAUCAACCCAAAACGUCACCUAAGAACCCUCCCAAAAGCAGCUCCAAACAGCCCCCUUUUCAUUAUAUAACAGAAGCGUUGGGAGUUGAGUCGAGGUCGUCGUACACGAUUCUGCUUGAGAUCUAGGUGAGGUUUUUCUGUUCGAGCUCCGGUUUCGGUUUUUGAGCAGUUUUCAGAACAAUCAUUCAUUUGCUUUGUGAACCAAGUGAAACUACAUAUAUUGAAAGUUGCGGUUGUUUGAGGUCUAAUUCUAACCCUAUGCAUUCUUUGGUUUGCAGUUUAUUUUGUUAUAGAUGCUGGGAGAGUAUUUGUUCGAUUUUCUGUUGUAAUAGAUGCUGGGAGAGUAUUUGUUCGAUUUUCUGUUUUCUUCUUUGCUUUUCGAAAUAAAGUUGCAUCAGCAUGAUCUUUAACUUUGAAAUAGGCUCCUUCUUCGUUUGAGCUAACGAAAGAGUAGUGCCCUUUUCAGAUUGUUUUAGGUAAUUCUUUGUUGCUACUUUCUAUGUAUUUUAAGAUUUGGACAAUUUUUUAAGACCUCUCUGUUCAUAGAUUUCAAUACUAUUUUGAUAUGGUUUUUGAAGAAUUACUAAUUAAUUAUAGUAAAGCUGUUAUUUUUUUAGAUCCUUAUGGUUUAUUACUUUGUUGGUGAAUUUCGUGUUAUAAAGGUUUGCCUUUGAAAAAACUGCAAAAAAGUUAUUAGUUGAAAUUUGAUGUUGUUUCUAAGUUCGGUGCCGUAAUAUUAUGGCAUCAGCGAACGAUUCUGUUUUUUGGCAAUAAGAAGAUUGCAUUCCCUAGUCUAGUGUGAGGAUGGAAGAAACAAUAUUUAUCCUCCUUCAUAGUUGUUAAUAUAAAGUGUAAGGCUUUACGUCUCCUAUGCAAAAUCAUAGGCCUAUGUGGAGAUUGCAGUCUAUAGCCUGAACAAUAUUCUCACAAGCAAAGAUUCUCCUUUCUUGUUCUUUUGCUUGUUACGGGGAAAAGAAACCCAUAUAAUAUACCUCAAACUUUUAGUUUCCAUAUAAUCUCAAAAUUUAGGAAAAUAAAUAAUUCUUGAAUGUCGUAGCUUGCUUUAGGCGCAAUUAAUAAACCAUCGUGAUUAUGGGUACGGUUCCCGUGACAUAUGCCUAAUUUUCCAAAUUCGGUUAUGCAUUUCAUGUGACCCGAUCAUAACAACUUUUAAUAAUAUUAAAAUAAACAUGUCGCGAAUCGUGGGUGCAUUUCAUGUAGCGUGGUUUGCGAUGUGUUCCAAAAUGGCAAGUGUACGACAAUCUUAACUUGUUCAAGAAAUAAUUUCAAAAAUUCUAAAAGCAGUUAAAAUAAUUAAAAAGCGGUUAUAAAGCUAAAAAUGCACAAUAGGUUUAAAACAUGUAGUAAAUCAGAUAAUUGGCCAAUUAUUAAUAGUUUAAGCGACCGUGCUCGAACCACGGAAUCAGGGAAUGCCUAACACCUUCUUGCGGGUUAACAGAAUUCCUUAUCUAAAAUUUCUGGUUUAAAAGUAACCUCGAAUUGGGAUUUUUUAAAAGUAAACCGGUGAUUUGGGACACCCUAAAUAUUCCAAGUGGCGACUCUGAAAUUUAAUAAAAUAAUCUCAUUUCGAUUAUUGUCACUUUAAUUGGAAAAACUCCCUUAUAUACCCUUCAGGUAGAAAAAGGAGGUGUGACAGUCGAGGGCUGACCCCACUACUGAGACGGACCCUCAAGAAGAUGAGGACACUACCUCCUUAUAUGCUCAAACUCUCCACACUCAUAACAACUCCCCUGUACUAGAGACAGGGACUAAAAGGAACCCCUUGCACCGGAAUGACCAAUAGAAGGACCUGGCAUGGAAGAACCCUGAACUGAUGGAGUACGGGACGAACUCUGGGCUGGAAGGGCACUAAGUGAUGAAUGGCCCUAAUAAGAACUGUGAGAACCAUGGCCGAAUGAUGCCCCACGAUAACUUGGGCGAGCUGACUGAGUCUGCUUGAAUGGACGGCCACUGUCGUGCUGAAACUGACCUCUUGAAGGAGCACUUCCAAAGCUGCCAGAUCCCCGAGGCCUCUUGGCCUCCCUGUCCUCUCGCUCCUGGCAACGAACUGACUUAAUCUUGCGGGCAAUGUCAACAACCUCCUCAAAGUAGCACCUGUGUGAUGAUCCGGCCGGUCGUCUCAAGAAUUAAUGCCCCGAUCCCCUAUUAACUGCUUUUCCCAAGUUUAUUUCUGCUAAUGUGAUUUGCCGGGAUGUUCGGUUUUGAGUUUCGGGACACUUAAUCCCUAAAUGAGAGCUUAAGUGUUGGAAAGUUGACCGUAGUCGGAACAAUAUGAAGACGACCUCGGAAUGGAAAUUUGAUGGUUCUGUUAGCUCCGUUGGGUGAUUUUGGGGUUAGAAGCGUGUUCGAAUUGUAUUUUGGAGGUCCGUAGCUAAUUUAGGCUUGAAAUGUCGAAAGUUGAAUUUUGGAAGUUUCCAAUUCGAUAAUGAAAUUUUGAUCCAAGGGUCAGAAUGUAAUUCUAAGAGUUGCAGUAGUUCCGUUAUGUCAUUUGGGAUGUGUGUGCAAAUUUUAGGUCAUUCGGACGUGUUUUGGUUGGGUUCUUGAUCGAAAGAGAAAUUCGGAAGAUUUUAGAAACUUAGGCUUGAAUCCAAUGUGUUUUGGUUGUUUUGAUGUUGUUUGAAGUGUUUUGAAGAUUUGUACAAGUUUGAAUAAGGUUUUAGGAUAUGUUGAUGCCUUUGGUUGAGAUCCUGGGGGCCUCGGGAUGAAUUCAGAUGGUUAACGGAGGAAAUUUUGGAGUUGAAAUUGCUGUAACAGUUGUUCUUCUGGUAUUUUUGCAUCUACGGUUUGGGGACCACAGAUGCGGAGCCGCAAAAGCGGCAAAGAGGACUGCAGAAGCGAAAUUUGGGAUUUCCCCCAGGAACCGUAGAUGCGGUGAGAUGUCCGCAGAAGCAGAACCGCUCCUGCAGUUAGAGUUCUGCAGAUGCGAAAGCUGGGUCCUUAAGUGAAAGUCACAGAUGCGACACUUGUUCCGCAGAAGUGAGACCGCAGAUGCGUCCUAAGGCCGCAAAUGCGGAAAAUCACUGGGCGGAACAUAUAAAUAGUUGCCUUCGCGAAUUUGAGGGAUCCUUUCACCAUUUUCAUCCGGGUUUGAAGCUUUUAAGAGAUAUUUUUGAGGAAAACAAAGAGGAGUCACUUGGAGGUAACAUCCUUGACUUCAUAACUCGUUUUUAUGUGAUUAAAGACCUAAUUAGUGGUGAGAAAUUUGGGAAAAUGGGUAAUUAGGGCUUGAGUUUAAGAGACAUUUAAAUAAGUAUUUGAAGGGUCAUUUGGACUCCGAUUUUAGUGUUCUUGUUAUGUAUAAACUCAUGAGAGUACGAGGUUUCUGAAAAUGUAAAUUUCACCUGAUUCUUAGAAGUGGGACCGAGGGGCGUUUUGGUCAUUUUAUAUAAUUUCGCGUAUUAGCUUAGAAUUUAGUUGUAGAAUCAGUUACUUGAAGGGUUAUUUAUAUUAUGCAAUUGAAUUGAAUAGAUUUAGGCCAUUUGGAGUCGAGUACUCAUGGAAAAGACGUGGUGUUGGGUUGAUUUUUGAGUCAGUUCGAGGUAAGUGGCUUGUCUAACCUUGCGUGGGGACCUUCCCCUUAGGAUUGGUAUAUGUGGUAUUAAAAUGCCUUAUACAUGAGGUGACGAGUAUGUACUUGUGCUAAUUGUUGGAAAUCAGGUUUUCUUAAGUGAUUACUAGUAUGUUUCCUUUCCUAUUUUUAUUUCUUACACUAUUAAGUCUGUUGUUAGCUUAGGAAAGCAUGUCUAAGUGACUUAAUUGCUUUAAUUGAUUCAACCUGUCUGUGCAGCAUGCUAGGCUAGAAUCACUUAUUGCCUUAAUAUGAACUUUUGCCAUUUCUGUAUACCUUUCCGCUAUUGUUGUGUAUUUAUUUUGGGACUACAGAUGUGGGAUUCCGGUAGCUCCCCCUUGUCUAUUUACUUUGGGACUAAGGGUUAGAUUCCCGGUAGAUCCCCCUGCACAUUUACUUUGGGACUAUGAGUUAGNNNNNNNNNNNNNNNCUUAUUUAUACUAUUUCGUUCUAUACUGUUGAUCUUUAUAUUUUAUUUAACUUUAGUAGGUCCCUGACCUUCCUCGUCACUACCCAAUCGAGGUUAGGCUUGGAACUUACUGAGUACCGCUGUGGUGUACUCUUGCCUCUUCUGCGCAUGUUUAUCAUGUGCAUAUCCAGGUACCGCUGAUCAGGUCUACUAUCCUUGAGGGAGGCGACCGCUCUAGAGACUUCGAGGUACAUCUACCGCAUUCGCAGACCGAGAAGUCCCUUUUUAUUCCUGCUUUUAGUAUUUAGCCCUUAUGUACCUUCCUGUUCUUAUUAGACAUUCUGGAGUUAGAGCUAUGUAGUAUUGAUCUUAGCUUGUGAUUCAUGGGUUUUAGGGUCUUGGAUUUAUGUUUGGUAUUGAGAGUUAAACAUGAUGUAUGUCGAGCGGCACAUUUAAACAUUGUUACUGCUUUAUUUCUAUUUUAAAUUGUUUACUUCCGCAAAUUAGGCUUACCUAGUCGUAGAGACUAGGUGUUGUCACAAUGGUUCAUUGAGGGCAAACCGGGGUCGUGACAAGUUGGUAUUAGAGCUCUAGAUUUAUAGGAGUCAUGGAUCACAAGCCGGUUUAUUAGAGUCUCGAUGAUCGGUACGAAGAUGCCCGUACUUAUCUAUGAGAGGCUAUGUAACUGUUAGAAAAAUUCCACUUCAUUUGAUUUUCUUGUCGUGUGAUAUUUUGACAUCAUCAUUCUAAACUUUUGUCUUCUAUUCCCUCACAGAUGGUGAGGACACGUGCUACCCGAGAUGAUCAGGCACUCGCGCCCCCAACUGCAGCCGUCAGAGGCUGGGGCCAGGGUAGAGGCCGAGGACGCGCACGUGGUAUAGCCAGAGCACCUGCGCGAGCUACCACCGAGGUACCACCAGUGGAUCUAGCCGGAGUCCAGGCACCUGACACGCCCACUGCUACUACCACUCCGGCUCUUCAAGAGACUUUGGCACAGUUUAUGAGCAUGUACACCACCUUGGCUUAAGCAGGGUUGUUUCCCCUUACUGCAACUACGUCUCAAGCUGGGGGAGGAGCACAGACUCUCACUACCCGCACUCCUGAGUAGCGAGUUCAUGUUGAGCAGGUCCUUGAGAUUAUUCUUGUACCGCCUGUAGUGCCAGUUCAACCCGAGGACAGGGCAGCGACUUCCGAGGAUGAGCAGUUGAGGCUUGAGAGAUUCAAGAAGUACAAGCCCCCUGUAUUUAGUGGUCUAGCAUCGGAGGAUGCUCUGGGAUUUUUUUAUGAGUGUUACCGCAUUCUUCGUACCAUAGGUAUUUCAGGAUCGAGCGGGGUUUCUUUCACUACCUUUCAACUUCAAGGAGCCGCCUAUGAGUGGUGGCGCACCUAUGAGCUAGACAUUCCAGAUGAGGCUGCUUCACUGACUUGGGCUCAGUUUUCAAAUUUAUUCAUGAGGGAGUAUGUUCCUCAGAGCCUUAGGGACACAUGGCGCGCAGAGUUUGAGCAUUUGUGCUAGGGUGCUAUGACUAUUUCAGAGUAUGUACACCAGCUUGGCUAGACAUGCACCAGCCUUGGUUUCUACUAUCCGCGAGAGGGUUCACCAGUUUAUUGAGGGCCUUAUUCCCAGCAUCAGAUCUAGUAUGGCUCGCGAGUUGGAGAUGGAUAUUUCUUACCAGUAGGUGGUGAGCAUUUCUAGGAGGAUUGAGGGUAUGUAUGCUAGGGAGAAAGAGGAGAGGGAGUCUAAGAGGUCUAGAGAGUUGGGCCAUUAUUAUGGUGCCCGUACCCUAGAUGCAGGUCGUCAUGGCAGGGGUUAUGUGAGUCGCCCUGUUCAUUCGGCUCUUCCAGCAGCUAGUGGUAUUCCAGCUCCUCCUAGGCCUCAGGAGUCUUAUUAUGCACCUCCGGUUUCUAGCGCGCCUCCAGCGCGGGGUGUUUUCAGAGGUCAGUCCAACAGACCUGGCCCUAGCCAGUAACAGCCACCACAUCCUCUCAGAUCUUGUUUUGAGUGUGGUGACACACGUCAUAUGGUGAGGGAUUGCCCCAAACUUGGGAGGGGUGCACCUCCACAGACUUCUCAGCCCCAGCAUGCCCCGUAGAGUUCUCAAGCUAUGGUUACAGCUCUAGUUGCUACCCCACCUGCUCAGCCAGCUGAAGGUGGAGGUCGGGGAGGUAGAGGUCACCCUAGAGGGGGAGGCCAUGCCAGAUACUAUGCCCUUCCUAACCGUACCGAGAUUAUUGCCUCCGAUUCUGUCAUCACAGGUAUUACACUUGUUUGCCACAGAGAUGCAUCGGUUCUAUUCGAUCCAGGCUCUACUUAUUCUUAUGUCUCUUCUUAUUUUGCUCUGCAUUUGGGUUUAUCUCAGGAUUCUUUGAGUUCUCUUGUGGGAGAUUUUCUCGUUGUGGACCGCAUUUAUCGGUUGUGUUUGGUUGCUCUUAGUGGUUUUGAGACCAGAGCCAAUUUAUUGUUACUCAGUAUGGUUGACUUAGAUAUUAUCUUGGGCAUGAACUGGUUGUCACCCCAUUAUGCUAUUCUUGAUUGUCACGCUAAAAUCGUGAUGCUGGCUAUGCUAGGUGUACCAUGUGUUGAGUGGAGAGGUACUUUAGAUUACGCCCCCAAUAGAGUUAUUUCUUUUCUUAAAGCUCAGCGUAUGGUUGAGAAGGGGUGUGACACAUAUUUAGCUUAUGUGAGAGAUGUCAGUAUUGAUAACCCUUCAGUUGAUUCAGUUCCAGUAGUACGGGAUUUUCCCGAUGUGUUUCCAACUGAUCUUCCAGGCAUGUUGCCUAAUAGAGAUAUUGAUUUUGGCAUUGAUCUAUUGCCGGGCACUCAGCCCAUUUCUAUUCCUCCAUAUCGUAUGGCUCCUCCUGAGUUGAAGGAGUUGAAGGAUCAAUUACAGGCUUGAUAAGGGUUUUAUUCGGCCUAGUGUAUCACCUUGGGGAGCUCCUGUCUUGUUUGUGAAGAAAAAGGAUGGUUCUAUGCAUAUGUGUAUUGAUUAUUGCCAGUUGAAUAAGGUUACAGUGAAGAACCGUUAUCCCUUGCCUCGUAUUGAUGAUCUAUUUGACCAGCUUCAAGGUGCAUGGGUAUUUUCUAAAAUUGACUUGCGCUCAGGUUACCAUCAGUUGAAAAUUCGGGAGCCAGAUAUCCCAAAGACUGCUUUCAGGACUCGGUAUGGUCAUUACGAGUUCCUUGUUAUGUCAUUUGGGUUGACCAAUACCCCAGCAGCCUUUAUGCAUUUGAUGCACAGUGUGUUCCAGCCGUAUUUUGACUCGUUUGUCAUUGUCUUUAUUGAUGAUAUUCUGGUGUAUUCCCGGAGUCGGGAAGAUCAUGAGCAGCACCUGAGGACUAUGCUUCAGACUUUGAGAGAGAAGAAGUUAUAUGCUAAAUUCUCAAAAUGGGAGUUUUGGUUGGAUUCAGUGGCAUUCCUAGGCCAUGUGGUAUCGAGUGAGGGUAUUCAAGUGGAUCCGAAGAAGAUAGAGGUCGUGCAGAGUUGGCCCAGACCAUCCUUAGCUACAGAGAUCCGCAGUUUCUUUGGUUUAGCGGGUUACUACCGUCGUUUUGUGGAGGGGUUUUCAUCGAUUGCAGCCCCUAUGACCAGGUUGACCCAGAAGGGUGCUCCGUUUCAGUGGAUAGAGGAGUGUGAGGCGAGCUUUAAGAAGCUUAAGAUAGCUUUGAGCACAACCCCAAUUUUGAUACUACCUACAGGUUCGGGGUCUUAUACGGUCUAUUAUGAUGCCUCAAGGGUUGGCCUCGAAGCGGUGUUGAUGCAGGAUGAUAGGGUGAUUGCCUACACUUCCAGACAGUUGAAGAUACAUGAGAAGAACUACCCUGUUCACGACCUUGAGUUAGCUACCAUUGUUCACGCCCUGAAGAUUUGGUGCCAUUAUUUAUACGGGGUUCCAUGUGAGAUUUAUACUGACCAUCAGAGCUUGCAGCACUUGUUCAAGCAAAAGGAUCUAAAUUUGCGCUAGAGGAAGUGGUUGGAGUUGCUAAAGGACUAUGAUAUCACUAUUUUAUAUCACCCGGGCAAGACCAAUGUGGUGGUCGAUGCUUUGAGUUGUCGAGCAGAGAGUUUGAGGAGUUUAGCUUAUUUAACAACAUCAGAGAGGCCUAUAGCGAUGGAUAUUCAGGCCUUAGCCAGCCAGUUUGUGAGAUUGGAUAUUUCGGAGCCCGGUCGGGUUCUAGCUUGCGUGAUUUCUCGGUUUUUCUUAUUUGAUCGUAUCAGGGAGCGGCAAUAUGAUGACCCUCAUUUGCUUGUCCUCAAGGACAAGGUUCAACACGGUGAUGCUAGGGAUGUGACUAUUGGUGAUGAUGGGGUAUUGAGGAUGCUGGGUCGGAUUUAUGUGCCCAAUGUUGAUGUGCUUCGAGAGUUGAUUCUAGUGGAGGCCCAUAGCUCGCAGUAUUCCAUUCAUCCAGGUGCCGCAAAGAUGUAUCAGGAUUUGAGACAACACUAUUGGUGGAGGCGAAAGAAGAAAGAUAUAGUUGGAUUCGUAGCUCGGUGACUCAACUGUCAGCAGGUGAAGUAUGAGCACUAGAGAUCGGGUGGGUUGCUUCUACAUAUAGAGAUUCCGGAGUGGAAGUGGGAGCGGAUCACCAUGGACUUUGUAGUUGGGCUCCCACGGACAUCGAGGAAGUUUGAUGCUAUUUGGGUGAUUGUGGAUCGGCUGACCAAGUCCGGUCACUUUAUUCCUAUGUGUACUACUUAUUCCUCGAAGCGGCUGGUGGAGAUCUAUAUCCGGGAGAUUGUUCGUCUGCAUGGUAUUCCGGUUUCUAUCAUUUUAGAUAGAGGUACCCAGUUCACAUCACAGUUCUAGAGAGUUGUUCACCAUUAGUUAGGUACUCGAGUAGAGUUAAGUACAACAUUUCACCCUCAGAUAGAUGGACAGUCCAAGCGCACUAUUCAGAUUCUUGAGGAUAUGCUCCAUGCGUGUGUGAUUGAGUUUGGAGGGUCUUGGGAUCAGUUUUUUUCAUUGGCAGAGUUUGCUUACAACAACAACUAUCAGUCCAGUAUUUAGAUGGCACCGUAGAGGCUUUAUAUGGUAGGCGGUGCAGAUCUCCGGUGGGUUGGUUUGAGCCGGGCGAGGCCAGAUUGUUGGGCACAGACCUGGUUUAGGAUGCUUUGGAGAAGGUUAAGGUGAUUCAGGAUAGACUCCGCACAGCCCAAUCCAGACAAAAGAGUUACGUGGACCGGAAGGUUCGCGAUGUUUCCUAUAUGGUUGGAGAGCGGGUUCUGCUUCGGGUUUCGCCUAUGAAGGGCAUUAUGAGAUUCGGGAAGAAAGGGAAGUUGAGUCUGAGGUUUAUUGGCCCUUUUGAGAUAUUGAGGCAUGUUGGGGAGGUUGCUUAUGAGCUUGCCUUACCUCCCAGCUUGGCAGGAGUUUAUCCGGUAUUUCAUGUUUCGAUGCUCCGGAGGUAUCACGGUGAUCCGUCGCACAUGUUGGAUUUCAGUUCAGUCCAGUUGGAUAAGGAUCUAUCUUAUAUUGAGGAGCCAGUGACAAUAUUGGACAGGCAGGUUAGAAAGUUGAGGUCAAAGAACAUUGCAACAGUGAAGGUCUAAUGGCAGGGUUAGCCGAUCGAGGAGGCGAUCUGAGAGAUCGAGCAGGAUAUGCACAGCCGUUACCCUCAUCUUUUCACUACUUCAGGUAUGUCUCUAUGCUCGUUCGAGGACGAAUGAAUGUUUAAGUGUAGGAGGAUGUGAUGACCUGGCCGGUCGUCUUAAGAAUUAAUGCCCCGAUCCCUAUUAACUGCUUUUCCCAAGUUUAUUUCUGCUAAUGUAAUUUGUCGGGAAUGAGAGCUUAAGUGUUGAAAAGUUGACCGUAGUUGGAAUAGUGUGAAGACGGCCUCAAAAUGGAAAUCCAAUAGUUCUGUUAGCUCCGUUGGGUGAUUUUGGGGUUAGGAGCGUGCUCGGAUUGUGUUUUGGAGGUCCGUAGCUAAUUUAGUCUUGAAAUGGUGAAAGUUGAAUUUUGGAAGUUUCCGGUUCGAUAGUGAGAUUUUGAUCUGAGGGUCAGAAUGGAAUUUUGAGAGUUGCAGUAGUUCUUUUAUGUCAUUUGGGAUGUGUUUGCAAAAUUUCAGGUCAUUCGGACGUGUAUUGGUUAGGUUUUUGAUCGAAAGCGGAAUUCGGAAGAUUUUAGAAACUUAGGCUUGAAUCCGAUGUGUUUGUUGUUUUGAUGUUGUUUGAAGUGUUUUGAAUAUUUGUACAAGUUUGAAUAAGGUUUUAGGAUAUGUUGAUGUCUUUGGUUGAGGUCCCGGGGGCCUCGGGAUGAAUUCGGAUGGUUAACGGAGGAAAUUUUGUAGUUGAAGUUGUUGUAGCAGCUAUUCUUCUGGUAUUUUUGCAUCUGCAGUUUGGGGACCGCAGAUGCGGAGCUGCAGAAGCGGCGAAGAGGACCGCAAAAGCGAAAUUUGGGAUUUCCCUCAGGAACCGCAGAUGCGGUGAGAUGUCCGCAGAAGCAGAACCGCUCCUGCGGUUAGAGUUCCGCAAAUGCGAAAGCUGGGUCCUUAAGUGAAAGUUGCAGAUGCGACACUUGUUCCGCAGAAGCGGGACCGCAACAAAUGCGAAAAAUCGUUGUGCAGAACAUAUAAAUAGUUGCCUUCACGAAUUUGAGGGAUCCUUUCACCAUUUUCAUCCGGGUUUGAAGCUUUUAAGAGAGAUUUUUGAGGAAAACAAAGGGAAAUCACUUGGAGGUAACAUCCUCGACUUCAUAACUCAUUUUUAUGUGAUUAAAGACCUAAUUAGUGGUGAGAAAGCUUGAGUUUAAGAGGCCUUUAAACGAGGAUUUAAGGGGGCAUUUUGGACUCCGAUUUCAGCAUUCUUGUUAUGUAUAGACUCGUGAGAGUAUGAGGUUUCUGAAAUUGUAAAUUUCAUCUGAUUCCGAGACGUGGGCCCGAGUGGCAUUUUGGUCAUUUUAUAUAAUUUUGCGUAUUAUCUUAGAAUUUAAUUGUAGAAUCAGUUACUUGAAGUGUUAUUUACAUUAUGCAAUUGAAUUUAAUAGAUUUGGGGCAUUUGGAGUUGAGUACUCGUGGAAAAUACGUGGUGUUGGGUUAAUUUUUGAGCCGGUUCGAGGUAAGUGGCUUGUCUAACCUUGUGGGGGGGACCUUCCCCUUAGGAUUGAUAUAUUUGGUAAUUGAAAUGCCUUGUACGUGAGGUGAUGAGUGCAUAUUUGUGCUAAUUGUUGGAAAUCCGGUUUUCUUAAGUAAUUACUAGUAUGUUUCCUUUCCUUUUUCUAUUUCUUGCACUAUUAAGCCUGUUGUUAGCUUAGGAAAGCAUGUCUAAGUGACUUAAUUGCUUUAAUUGAUUCAACCUGCUUUACUUGAAUUCUGUGCAGCAUGCUAGGCUAGAAUCACUUAUUGCCUUAAUAUGAAAUUUUGCCAUUUCUGUAUAUCUUCCUGCUGUUGCUGUGUAUUUAUAUUGGGAUUAUGGAUAUGGGAUUCCGGUAGCUCUCCCUUGUUUGUUUACUUUGGGACUACGGGUUAGAUUCCUGGUAAAUCCCCAUGCACAUUUACUUUGGACUACGGGUUAGAUUCUCGGUAGAUUCCCCCAGUACUGGGUAUUUACAUUUGGGACUACGGAAGGGGAUUCCGGUAGAUCCCCGCGCACUAUGAGUUGGACUACGGGACGGGAUCCCGGGAGAUCCUUUGGACAUAUAUAUACCCGCGCACUAUGAGUUGGACUACGGGACGGGAUCCCGGGAGAUCCUUCGGACAUAUAUAUAUAUAUAUGAUGGACUACGGGAUGGUAUCCUGGGAGAUUCACUAGAUAUGUAAAGAUGGUACUACAGGACGGUAUCCUGGGAGAUCCCCGAUUGUUACUAUUGGUGUUGAGCUGUAUUUCCUUUCCACGUUUACCUUGUUAUGUAUAGUUGUUGUUGUUCUGUUCAUCUUAUGUUAUUUUACUACUGUACUUAUUUAUACUGUUUUGUUCUAUACUGUUAAUCUUUAUAUUUUAUUUAACCUCAGUAGGGCCCUGACCUUCCUCGUCACUACCUAACCGAGGUUAGGCUUGGCACUUACUGAGUACCAUUGUGGUGUACUCAUGCCUCUUCUGUGCAUGUUUUUCAUGUGCAGAUCCAGGUACCACUGAUCAGGUCUACUAUCCUUGAGGGAGGCGACUGCUCUAGAGACUUCGAGAUACAUUUGCCGCGUCCGCAGACUAAGAAGUCCCUUUCUAUUCCUGCUUUUAGUAUUUAGCCCUUAUGUACCUUCAUGUUUUUAUUAGACAUUCUGGAGUUAGAGCUAUGUAGUAUUGAUCUUUGCCUGUGAUUCAUGGGUUUUCGGGUCUUGGAUUUAUGUUUGGUAUUGAGAGUUAAAUAUGGUGUAUGCCGAGCGGCACAUUUAAACACUGUUACUGC
rnacentral:lncRNA from 1 species